CGGGGUGAGUAAUGUCUGGGAAACUGCCUGAUGGAGGGGGAUAACUGCUGGAAACGGUAGCUAAUACCGCAUAACGUCGCAAGACCAAAGAGGGGGACCUUCGGGCCUCUUGCCAUCGGAUGUGCCCAGAUGGGAUUAGCUAGUAGGUGGGGUAACGGCUCACCUAGGCGACGAUCCCUAGCUGGUCUGAGAGGAUGACCAGCCACACUGGAACUGAGACACGGUCCACG
rnacentral:rRNA from 1 species